rnacentral:rRNA from 1 species
GACGAACGCUGGCGGCGUGCUUAACACAUGCAAGUCGAACGGAAAGGCCCUGCUUGCAGGGUGCUCGAGUGGCGAACGGGUAAGUAACACGUGGGUGAUCUGCCCCUUACUUUGGGAUAAGCCUGGGAAACUGGGUCUAAUACUGGAUAGGACCAUGCUGUAGGUGGUGUGGUGGAAAGAUUAGUUUCGGUAAGGGAUGAGCUCGCGGCCUAUCAGCUUGUUGGUGGGGUAAUGGCCUACCAAGGCGUCGACGGGUAGCCGGCCUGAGAGGGUGGACGGCCACAUUGGGACUGAGAUACGGCCCAGGCUCCUACGGGAGGCAGCAGUGGGGAAUAUUGCACAAUGAGCGCAAGCCCGAUGCGGCGACGCCGCGUGGGGGAUUACGGCCUUCGGGUUGUAAACUCCUUUCAGCCAUGACGAAGCCCUUGUGGUGACGGUAGUGGUAGGAGAAGCACCGGCUAACUACGUG